CUCUGCUUAUUCCCUUUACCCCUGGGCCCUUUCUGUAGGUUGGGGUGGGCUCCUUUACGGGAACCUUUUGCCCGCCUAAGUAUUCUACAAACCCUUUAAAGUAUUAGAAAGUAAACGCGUUUAAAGCAUUUAUAAUACAACUUUUAGCAAAGGAUUUUUUGGCUUUUGCAUUGAUGAAGAACGCAACGAAAUUCGAUAAGUAAUGGGAAUUGCCGAAUUCAAGGAAUUAUUGAAUUUUUGAACGCCCCCUGCGCUCCUUGGUAUUUCGAGGAGCCAGCCUGUUUKAAGGUCAAGGAAUUUUCAAACUAUAAAUCCUUGUUAUUAAUAAGCUUGGACUUGGAGGCCUGCUGGCCCUCGUCGGUCGGCUCCUCUUGAACGCAUUAGCUUGAUUCCGUACGGAUCGGCUCUCAGUGUGAUAAUGGUCUACGCUGUGACCGUGAAGUGUUUUGGCGAGCUUCUAACCGUCCAUUAGGACAACUUUUUAACAUCUACCUCAAAU
rnacentral:rRNA from 1 species